UUAAAGUAGUAAGGGCGCAGGGUGGAUGCCUUGGCACUAAGAGCCGAUGAAAGACGUGAUAAGCUGCGAAAAGCUUCGGGGAGGAGCACAUAUCCAAUGAUCCGGAGAUAUCUGAAUGGGGAAACCCGGCAGAGGAAACCUCUGUCAGCGUGCAGUGAAUACAUAGCUGUACGUGGGGAACCCGGGGAACUGAAACAUCUAAGUACCCGGAGGAAGAGAAAGAAAAUUUAUCGAUUUCCAAAGUAGCGGCGAGCGAAAUGGAAAGAGCCCAAACCGUGAUGCGUGCAUCGCGGGGUUCGGACUGCGUUGUGGCAGACGUAAGAUAGGAGAACGGACUGGGAAGUCCGGCCGGAGAGAGUGAAAGCCUCGUAUCCGAAAUCCCAAGUCGCCUAGCAGGAUCCAGAGUAGGACGAGACACGAGAAACCUUGUCUGAACGAGCGGGGACCACCCCGUAAGGCUAAAUACUUCUUAGUGACCGAUAGCGCAUAGUACUGUGAAGGAAAGGUGAAAAGUACCCCGGGAGGGGAGUGAAAGAGAACCUGAAACCCUGUGUCUACAAGCUGUGGGACCUCUUUAUAUGAGGGACUGCGUACUUUUUGUAGAACGGUCCGGCGAGUUGUGCGUACUGGCGAGGUUAAGGACUUAAGGUCUGGAGCCGAAGUGAAAGCAAGCGUUAAGAGCGCGUCAAGUCAGUGAGUGCAGACCCGAAACCGGGUGACCUAUCCAUGUCCAGGUUGAAGCUUCCGUAAGAGGAAGUGGAGGACCGAACCCACAUCCGUUGAAAAGGGUGGGGAUGAGGUGUGGAUAGCGGAGAAAUUCCAAUCGAACCCGGAGAUAGCUGGUUCUCCUCGAAAUAGCUUUAGGGCUAGCCUCAUGAGAGUCUUAUGGAGGUAGAGCACUGAAUUGCCUAGGGGGCGUCAAAGCUUACCAAAGCAUAUCAAACUCCGAAUGCCAUCAAGAUGAUUCAUGGGAGUCAGACCAUACGAGAUAAGUUGGAUGGUCAAAAGGGAAAGAGCCCAGACCUACAGCUAAGGUCCCAAAGUGCGUGUUAAGUGGAAAAGGAUGUGGGGAUUCUAAGACAACUAGGACGUUGGCUUAGAAGCAGCCAUUCAUUGAAAGAGUGCGUAAUAGCUCACUAGUCGAGAGUCCCUGCGCCGAAAAUGUCCGGGGCUGAAACACGACACCGAAGCUUAGGAAUGUGUAAACAUUGGUAGAGGAGCAUUGCUGGCGGGAUGAAGCCAUACCGUAAGGAGUGGUGGACUGCUAGGAAGAGAGAAUGCCGGAAUGAGUAGCGAGAUGAAGGUGAGAAUCCUUCAGGCCGAAUAUCUAAGGUUUCCAGAGUAAAGCUGAUCUGCUCUGGGUAAGUCGGGACCUAAGGCGAGGUCGAAAGACGUAGUCGAUGGAUAACAGGUUGAAAUUCCUGUACCGCAUAUAAACAGAACUGUGGGGACACAGACAGGGAAUGGAAUCCGGGAGUGGAGAUCCCGGUGCAAGCGAGGUAGGAGUGCUGUUGGCAAAUCCGCAGCACGAUCUGAAGACGUGACGCGUACCGAACAUAAGUAGGGAAGUCCAGGCCCCUGGCUGUCAAGAAAAGCCGCUAUUGUUUUAUAUGUGCCCGUACCGCAAACCGACACAGGUGGAUGAGGAGAGAAUCCUAAGGCCGACGGGAGAAGUAUUGUUAAGGAACUCGGCAAAAUGACUCCGUAACUUCGGGAGAAGGAGUGCCAUGAGAGUGGCCGCAGAGAAAUGGCCCAAGCAACUGUUUAGCAAAAACACAGGUCUAUGCAAAACCGCAAGGUGAAGUAUAUGGGCUGACGCCUGCCCGGUGCUGGAAGGUUAAGGGGAGAGGUUAGCGCAAGCGAAGCUUUGAACUUAAGCCCCAGUAAACGGCGGCCGUAACUAUAACGGUCCUAAGGUAGCGAAAUUCCUUGUCGGGUAAGUUCCGACCC
rnacentral:rRNA from 1 species